CUGUACUCACUGCAGCAACAAAUAAAUUAAAAUUUGAAUGACACAGAGCAAAUUAGCAUGGCCUUGUCGAAGAAUGACACACAAAUCCAUGAAGUUUCCCAUACAUAA